AAAAAGAAAAAAAAAUCUUCAAUUUCUUCGAUUAUUGUCAUUUGGCUCAAAAUCUUAACUUAGGGAUUGUUUCCAUUGAGGUUAUUGAGGAAGAAAGCUAUGACAUCGUUUUAUCUCACUUCAAUAAAUUCUGUACAAGAUCGCGGAAGAGAAGUAGAAGAAAACAGGAGCGGAAGGGAAAACGUUAUUCAGUGGCCAGAGCUAGCAACUUCCACUCGGAGCUCUGCUUCACCGCCAUGGAUUACUUGAAGACGGUGGUGCCUUCACAACUCCUGGCGGAGCGAGGCUCCAAUCUGGUUGUCAUCAACCCUGGGUCUGCAAAUGUCAGGAUCGGCCUUGCACAGCAGGACACUCCCUUUAAUAUCCCUCACUGCAUUGCUCGCUAUACCAAUCAAUUGCCCAAACUUAAUGUUAAAGAUCAGAUGCUAAAUAUUCAGGUCACAACAGCUCAGCACAUGGAUCGUGAGAAGGCAUAUGAUAUUAUUGCUUCAUUGCUGAAGAUCCCUUUUCUGGAUGAAGAGAUUGCCAACAAUUCUUUUCCGCGCAAGACAGGACGUGUUGAUGGAUAUAAUACACAGAGUGGCAGGAAGGAUGUAGCUUUUACAUGGGCUAACGUAUAUGAGCAAGAAACCAACUCUUCUUUGGCAUCAGGUGCAGAAAGGCCAACAAUUGAAAGUCAUAUUGGUGAGGCCUCGGAGAAGCAUGAAAGUACAGAUGCUGAGGAGCCUACUACAAGUGGGCAUAAAUACAGAGGUUUCAUUUGUGGUGAGGAAGCACUAAGAAUACCCCCCACAGAGCCAUAUAUUGCUCACGCCACCCUAUUCGCAGGUGACACUUGAACCUUUGACAACAUCAUCCUAUGCAGCAGGUGCUUGAAGACCUUCAUGCUACUUGGGAUUGGAUUUUGGUAGAGAAACUGCAUAUUCCUCACUCUGAAAGAAACAUGUAUGCUGCCAUACUUGUUUUGCCAGAAACAUUUGACAAUCGGGGAAGACCUUGCUGCAGUUUUUGGGAAUGGUUUAUCAACAGCGUGUGUUGUAAAAAUUGGUGCUCAGGUGACAUCUGUCAUUUGUGUUAAGGUAAGUGCAGUUGUGUAGUAAAUUUUGACUUCUGUAAACCAUCCGGACUUUUUCUGAUGCUCUCAUUAUAGCUAUUAGUGUCAUAAUAAGAACAUGACAAUGCUUAAAUUACAGAUGUCAAAGCAACUCUUAUGAGAAUUAUCUAAUUUCCACUUUGGUGUUCAGGAUGGAGUAGCUCUAACUAAUACAGAAAAGACUUCGCCCUUUGGUGGAGAGGUUCCAUGACUACGAGGAUAUGCUGGAAGACACAUGGCAUAUAGAAUACCCUAGAAGACCUGAGAUAUCAGAUUGUCUAUUUCCCGGCAUUUAUGUUGGAUUGUCCAUGCGGGAUAGCUAUCCAGUUUUCCCUUCUAAGCCUAAGACAGAAGAGACUGUUGGUCUUGCAGAGGCUAUCACCAGUAGCAUUCUUUCAACAGGUAAGAUUCACCUGUAAUUCUUCUACUGUCUUACCUUGAACUGUUUGAUACUUAAUGUGCUCUGGUUUUUUCUGUUGACAGGUCAUAUAGACCUCAAGAGAAAAUUGUUUUGUAGCAUACAAUUGGUAUUUUUUGGUUGCAAGAUUGUUUGCAUGAGAUUAUACAUUCUUAAAUUUCUUUUAGACUGGAAUAUGACAUAGGUUUGUGUUUUAGAUCAAUGGAAUGGCUUUGACACCUGGUCUGAGUCCUGCAGUGGAGAAGAGGUUGGUUCCAUUUUGAUUUUAGAAAUAGAGCAUGUAAUUGUCUGAGUGCUGCUGUUGUCAUGAAGCUUGCAUCUGUUUGCCAAGAAUGACAUGUUUCAGGACUGCCAAAAUAAGUCCAAUAAGGGGAAAAACAUUACAUCAGGCACUCAUACAUCUGGCAUUCUGGCUUGAUCAUUGGGAAAACUCUACUUAUCGAGUGUCCCCGCACCCACCAAACCCCAAAAAGAAAGGAAAGAAAACCCAUUUUGUGAGCGUCAUCUGUAUUAUACUUUUCUGAAUGAAUAGCUUAGGCCAUUGAAUUAGUUAUUCAGUUCUCAUGAGAUACGCCUCAAUAACUGGCUUUGCCCAUAUUCAUGUUUUACUUUAUUAUUGCAGAGUUUUACAUGAAAUCCCCUCUAAUGAAGCAAUUGAUACAGUUGAGGUUCUGCAGUCAAGAACAAAUCCAACCUUCGUGUCCUGGAAAGGCGGAGCUAUUCUUGGAAUUCUUGAUUUUGGUCGGGAUGCUUGGAUACACAGGGAGGAUUGGAUUCGCAAUGGGAUUCACGUAGGGAGUGGGAGAAAAUAUAAGGACUCUUACUAUCUUCAAGCACAAGCGAUGUGUUACAUAAAUACCUAAAGGAGACAGGAAGUAAUGAGGCCUCAAUUUAGAAUUAGCAACUUUCAGGGUAAUGUAAAGUCUAAUUUAACUGAAGCCUUAACAUUUGUAAAAGUUGAUUUGGGCAAGCAUACAUGAUUGUUUGGAAGUCUCUAUGUUUCUUUUGGACAGGUGAUUUAGAAUGCUGAAAGCGUGUUAAUAUUCCGUUAGUGGCAUUCACAAACAUGUGCUUGGAGACUUGCAUAUUAUACUCGAGGAGAUGAAGCAACUGUUUGGCUUUUUAUUUGUGCAGCUGCUAAAUGGCAAAUUCUGUUCAUAUUCUUGUUGUAGAAGACCAAAUUUCUGAGCUUAAUUGAUCCUAGUUGCAAAAGAUACUAUCAAAUUUGUGAAGCUUCCAUUAUAGUUGUACGGCAAAAUCAGCUUCCAUUUCCUGCUGCUUUUUUUUUUCUUUCUUUUGUGCCGCAGCUAUAGAACUUGAGUGUGAAUUUUUAACCUGCAAGAUGAUCUGGAGAAUUGAUUAUAAUUUUACUGUGACCAUAAUCCGCAGUAUGAAGGCAUGAUGCAGGAACCUAUAAGACAUGAACAGGAUUGUCGGCCGUGAAGUAUGAACUAGUGAUUUCAUACUUGACAACCAUAACAUUGAAAACAUUAGGAGAUAGUUGUGAUGUACAAGAUCUUUUCUACCGCUGCAAUUGAUUAGAAACUUGCAUGGAGAUAGGAAAGAAACAUAAACUUUAAGCUUUCUUCCUGGGAAGGAAAACCAUUAAAGCGUUCAAGAAUCUCAUGCUCUUAAAGGAAGGAAGAAAGGCAAUUUCAUCUGCCGUAGUUUUUCUUUCUCGUUGAUUUUUAUAGCUUGAGCAAACUGUAUUCCAAUUUUUAUGAAUGUACUUUGCCUUCAUAUUUGCCACCCAAUUAAGGAAAGCCAACUGGCACAUUCCAG
rnacentral:misc_RNA from 1 species